CGCUCGCAGUGGCGGGGACGGCAUAUUCGCGGGCGAAUCCUCACGCUGGUCUGGCGGCGGCGGCGGAGGCCGUGGAGACUACUCAGAUCAUGACAACAGAAAUGGUUAUGUUAAACUUUUUGUUGGAACAUUACCGAGAAUAGAAAGUGAAGAUGACGCAAUGGGUCCUUUUGAGGUUAGAUAUGCCGAUGGUGAAAAGAAGCGUCCUG